rnacentral:rRNA from 1 species
AGGGCGCACGGUGGAUGCCUUGACACUAGGAGUCGAUGAAGGACGGGACUAACGCCGAUAUGCUUCGGGGAGCUGUAAGUAAGCUUUGAUCCGAAGAUUUCCGAAUGGGGAAACCCACCAUACGUAAUGGUAUGGUAUCCUUAUCUGAAUACAUAGGGUAAGGAAGACAGACCCAGGGAACUGAAACAUCUAAGUACCUGGAGGAAGAGAAAGCAAAUGCGAUUUCCUGAGUAGCGGCGAGCGAAACGGAACAUAGCCCAAACCAAGAGGCUUGCCUCUUGGGGUUGUAGGACAUUCUAUACGGAGUUACAAAGGAACGAGGUAGACGAAGCGACCUGGAAAGGUCCGUCGUAGAGGGUAACAACCCCGUAGUCGAAACUUCGUUCUCUCUUGAAUGUAUCCUGAGUACGGCGGAACACGUGAAAUUCCGUCGGAAUCUGGGAGGACCAUCUCCCAAGGCUAAAUACUCCCUAGUGAUCGAUAGUGAACCAGUACCGUGAGGGAAAGGUGAAAAGCACCCCGGAAGGGGAGUGAAAGAGAUCCUGAAACCGUGUGCCUACAAAUAGUCAGAGCCCGUUAACGGGUGAUGGCGUGCCUUUUGUAGAAUGAACCGGCGAGUUACGAUCCCGUGCGAGGUUAAGCUGAAGAGGCGGAGCCGCAGCGAAAGCGAGUCUGAAUAGGGCGUUUAGUACGUGGUCGUAGACCCGAAACCAGGUGAUCUACCCAUGUCCAGGGUGAAGUUCAGGUAACACUGAAUGGAGGCCCGAACCCACGCACGUUGAAAAGUGCGGGGAUGAGGUGUGGGUAGCGGAGAAAUUCCAAUCGAACCUGGAGAUAGCUGGUUCUCCCCGAAAUAGCUUUAGGGCUAGCCUUAAGUGUAAGAGUCUUGGAGGUAGAGCACUGAUUGGACUAGGGGUCCUCAUCGGAUUACCGAAUUCAGUCAAACUCCGAAUGCCAAUGACUUAUCCUUAGGAGUCAGACUGCGAGUGAUAAGAUCCGUAGUCAAAAGGGAAACAGCCCAGACCGCCAGCUAAGGUCCCAAAGUGUGUAUUAAGUGGAAAAGGAUGUGGAGUUGCUUAGACAACUAGGAUGUUGGCUUAGAAGCAGCCACCAUUUAAAGAGUGCGUAAUAGCUCACUAGUCGAGUGACUCUGCGCCGAAAAUGUACCGGGGCUAAAUACACCACCGAAGCUGCGGAUUGAUACCGAAUGGUAUCAGUGGUAGGGGAGCGUUCUAAGGACAGUGAAGUCAGACCGGAAGGACUGGUGGAGUGCUUAGAAGUGAGAAUGCCGGUAUGAGUAGCGAAAGACGGGUGAGAAUCCCGUCCACCGAAUGCCUAAGGUUUCCUGAGGAAGGCUCGUCCGCUCAGGGUUAGUCAGGACCUAAGCCGAGGCCGACAGGCGUAGGCGAUGGACAACAGGUUGAUAUUCCUGUACCACCUCUUUAUCGUUUGAGCAAUGGAGGGACGCAGAAGGAUAGAAGAAGCGUGCGAUUGGUUGUGCACGUCCAAGCAGUUAGGCUGAUAAGUAGGCAAAUCCGCUUAUCGUAAAGGCUGAGCUGUGAUGGGGAAGCUCCUUAUGGAGCGAAGUCUUUGAUUCCCCGCUGCCAAGAAAAGCUUCUAGCGAGAUAAAAGGUGCCUGUACCGCAAACCGACACAGGUAGGCGAGGAGAGAAUCCUAAGGUGUGCGAGAGAACUCUGGUUAAGGAACUCGGCAAAAUGACCCCGUAACUUCGGGAGAAGGGGUGCUUUCUUAACGGAAAGCCGCAGUGAAUAGGCCCAAGCGACUGUUUAGCAAAAACACAGCUCUCUGCGAAGCCGUAAGGCGAAGUAUAGGGGGUGACACCUGCCCGGUGCUGGAAGGUUAAGGAGAGGGGUUAGCGUAAGCGAAGCUCUGAACUGAAGCCCCAGUAAACGGCGGCCGUAACUAUAACGGUCCUAAGGUAGCGAAAUUCCUUGUCGGGUAAGUUCCGACCCGCACGAAAGGUGUAACGAUUUGGGCACUGUCUCAACCAGAGACUCGGUGAAAUUAUAGUACCUGUGAAGAUGCAGGUUACCCGCGACAGGACGGAAAGACCCCGUGGAGCUUUACUGUAGCCUGAUAUUGAAUUUUGGUACAGUUUGUACAGGAUAGGCGGGAGCCAUUGAAACCGGAGCGCUAGCUUCGGUGGAGGCGCUGGUGGGAUACCGCCCUGACUGUAUUGAAAUUCUAACCUACGGGUCUUAUCGACCCGGGAGACAGUGUCAGGUGGGCAGUUUGACUGGGGCGGUCGCCUCCUAAAGUGUAACGGAGGCGCCCAAAGGUUCCCUCAGAAUGGUUGGAAAUCAUUCGUAGAGUGCAAAGGCAUAAGGGAGCUUGACUGCGAGACCUACAAGUCGAGCAGGGACGAAAGUCGGGCUUAGUGAUCCGGUGGUUCCGCAUGGAAGGGCCAUCGCUCAACGGAUAAAAGCUACCCCGGGGAUAACAGGCUUAUCUCCCCCAAGAGUCCACAUCGACGGGGAGGUUUGGCACCUCGAUGUCGGCUCAUCGCAUCCUGGGGCUGUAGUCGGUCCCAAGGGUUGGGCUGUUCGCCCAUUAAAGCGGUACGCGAGCUGGGUUCAGAACGUCGUGAGACAGUUCGGUCCCUAUCCGUCGUGGGCGUAGGAAAUUUGAGAGGAGCUGUCCUUAGUACGAGAGGACCGGGAUGGACGCACCGCUGGUGUACCAGUUGUUCUGCCAAGGGCAUAGCUGGGUAGCUAUGUGCGGAAGGGAUAAGUGCUGAAAGCAUCUAAGCAUGAAGCCCCCCUCAAGAUGAGAUUUCCCAUAGCGUAAGCUAGU